rnacentral:rRNA from 1 species
CCUACGCGAGGCAGCAGUGAGGAAUAUUGGUCAAUGGACGAGAGUCUGAACCAGCCAAGUAGCGUGAAGGAUGACGGCCCAAUGGGUUGUAAACUUCUUUUAUAAAGGAAUAAAACGAGGCACGUGUGCCUUUUUGCAUGUACCUUAUGAAUAAGGAUCGGCUAACUCCGUGCCAGCCGCCGAGGUAAUACGGAGGAUCCGAGCGUUAUCCGGAUUUAUUGGGAUUAACGGGAGCGUAGAGGGGUUGUUAAGUCAGUUGGGAAAGGUUGCGGCUCAACCGUAGAAGUGCAAUUGAUACUGGCAGUCGUGAGUACAGGUGAGGUAGGCGGAAUGCGUGGUGUAGCGGUGAAAUGCUUAGAUAUCACGGAGAACCCCGAUUGCGAAGGCAGCUUACUAGACUGAGACUGACGUUGAUGCUCGAAAGUGUGGGUAUCAAACAGGAUUAGAUACCCCGGUAGUC